UACGGAAGGUCCAAGCGUUAAUCGGAAUUACUGGGCGUAAAGCGCGCGUAGGUGGUUUAUUAAGUUGGAUGUGAAAUCCCCGGGCUCAACCUGGGAACUGCAUCCAAAACUGAUUCACUAGAGUACGAUAGAGGGAGGUAGAAUUCACAGUGUAGCGGUGGAAUGCGUAGAUAUUGUGAAGAAUACCAAUGGCGAAGGCAGCCUCCUGGAUCUGUACUGACACUGAGGUGCGAAAGCGUGGGUAGCGAAC
rnacentral:rRNA from 1 species